rnacentral:tRNA from 1 species
GUGGGGUUGUGGCUCAGUGGUAGAGCGCUCGCCUAGCAGGCGCGAGGCCCUGGGUUCGACCCUCAGCACCACG